GUCUGCCACAGCCUACAGAUAUCCCCCUUCUCUUUCCAUGGGCAGACACUGCUGAUGCAUUGCUGAACUCUAUACUGCAGAUCCUAAAUGGAGUCUAAAAUUCUUCUCUAGGAACCCACUAACAAGUGAAGUUCAUGUGUGAAAUGAAAACUAUUUGCUAUUCCAUAUACUGAAUUGCACAAACUGAGAGCAGUGAGUCAAUUGGAGCAAACUGAAGAGCAUCCAUGAGAAAUGAAAGCGCAUUUCCUUUCCCUGCAGAUGGGACACUGGAAAAGGAAUCAAAAGCAGUGGGUUCAAGUACCUCUUAAUAGUGAGGUGAUUCGGGGUGAUACAUCAGAGCUGGGGUCUGAUCACCUGAUCCAUAGAAUGAACAGUGUCCUAGGACCUUGUGGCAUGGCUUGAGAUUGCAAUUUACCUUAAAAAAGAUUAAAAGCAGAACAUCCAAAACAUUGAUGGUUUCUUCAGUCUUUAAAAUUACAUAGUUAGUGUGGCUCAUGUGGCUUAAUGCUCUUCCUGAUGAUGAGCUGAGCCAGAAAGCACUGUACAGCCAACUACAGGACCAGAGGGAGCAGAACGAGGGGAGACUAGAAGAUCUCCAACUUGUGCUGUGUGUGGAAUAGUAGGAUUGUGUGUAAGGUGAGUAUUUAAGGUCAGCUUCAGGUAGGAGUUUGAGUUUUUAGCUUCAGUUUUUCUACUCUUCCUAUCUCCAUGCCCCUUUGCCUGUAGCUUUGCAGUUAAGUGGUGAGAGUCCUACUUCUUGACUCUGGGUUUUGCCUUGAGACUCUAGCCAAUGAGAUAUAGCAGAUGUCACAAGCAGAGGUACACCUUGGACUUGGGGAUUGGUACUUUCCCCUACUGGAUCUUUACCAUUGACAUGAGAGCAACACACUUAGGU
rnacentral:lncRNA from 1 species